GGAAAGAUGAAAAGAACUUUGAAAAGAGAGUUAAACAGUACGUGAAAUUGUUGAAAGGGAAACGAUUGAAGUCAGUCAUACCAACGGGAAAUCAACCUUUUGAGCUUUGUCUCGUGGGUUCGAAGAGUUUAAACGCCUUCGGGUUCGCGAGAUUGGGAUCUUCUGGUAUACUUUUUCGUACGGUUAGUCAACAUCGGUUUUGAAUGUCAUAAAAUGACUGGAGGAAUGUGGCUUCGAUCUCGUAUCGAAGUGUUAUAGCCUUUGGUAGAUGUGAUGUUUGAGACCGAGGAUUGUAACGGAUACCCUUUAAGGGCUAUUCGUCUGAUCUCUGAUACGUUACCUUGAUGUUGAAAGCUUGCUUAUGAUGUUAGGGUAUUACGGUCAAAAGGUUUGAACGGAUUAAAUUCGUUAAGGAUGUUGACGUAAUGACUUUAAACGACCCGUCUUGAAACACGGACCA
rnacentral:rRNA from 2 species